rnacentral:hammerhead_ribozyme from 1 species
UUCCAGCUGAAGAGUCCCAAAUAGGACGAAUCUCGCAUCCUGGAU